UACGAAGGGGGCUAGCGUUGUUCGGAAUUACUGGGCGUAAAGCGCACGUAGGCGGAUACUUAAGUCAGGGGUGAAAUCCCGGGGCUCAACCCCGGAACUGCCUUUGAUACUGGGUAUCUCGAGUCCGGAAGAGGUGAGUGGAAUUCUGAGUGUAGAGGUGAAAUUCGUAGAUAUUCGGAGGAACACCAGUGGCGAAGGCGGCUCACUGGUCCGGUACUGACGCUGAGGUGCGAAAGCGUGGGGAGCAAACAGG
rnacentral:rRNA from 1 species